rnacentral:rRNA from 1 species
CCGGUGCCGGAGUGAAGAUGUUAAGUUCACUGCCUGGGGAGUACGGUCGCAAGGCUGAAACUUAAAGGAAUUGGCGGGGGAGCACUGCAACGGGAGGAGCGUGCGGUUUAAUUGGAUUCAACGCCGGAAAACUCACCAGGGCCGACUGUUAUAUGAAGACCAGCGUAAUGAGCUUGUCGGAUUUUCAGAGAGGUGGUGCAUGGCCGUCGUCAGUUCGUACUGUAAAGCGUUCUGUUAAGUCAGAUAACGAACGAGACCCUCAUCUCUAUUUGCUACCCGUCUCUCCGGAGGCGGCGCACUAUAGGGAGACCGCUGGUGUUAAACCAGAGGAAGGCGAGGGCAACGACAGGUCAGUAUGCCCCGAAUGUCCUGGGCUACACGCGCGCUACAAAGGACGGGACAAUGGGAAGCCAGGCCGAGAGGCCGAGCUACCCCGAAACCCGUUCAUAGUUCGGAUCGUGGGCUGUAACUCGCCCACGUGAAGCUGGAUUCCGUAGUAAUCGUGUUUCAAUAUAGCACGGUGAAUAUGCCCCUGCUCCUUGCACACACCGCCCGUCAAACCAUCUUAGUUGGGGGUGGGUGAGGCUGCGCUUACUUCGGUAUGGCGUAUUCGAGCCUGCCUUCGACAAGGAGGGUUAAGUCGUAACAAGGUAUCUGUAGGGGAACCUGCAGAUG